GCUUGGAAUUCUCAUCAUCGUCGAAUGGCCUCGAUUCUCCUAGACUCUCUUUUUUUGUCAAGAAAGACAUCGCUCAGAUCCAAUCUCUCUGCGUCGAGAUGGAUUGCCUCUGGAGAUCCGUCACUUCCAAACCCCAACGUGAUCUCUGGAAGCGAAAAGUAAAACAGGGAGCUG